rnacentral:hammerhead_ribozyme from 1 species
GUGCUGCUGAGGAGUCCCACAAUAGGACGAAACGGUUGUCCAGUGC